rnacentral:lncRNA from 1 species
AUUGGUGAUAUGUCAAAUUUCAGAACAACCACAUGUCGCCUGACGAUAUCUCCAGGUACUUUCUUACCUUUUUUCUCUCUUUUUUUUUUUUUUUUAAGUUUUUGACUUUCUGAUUUUUCUGAUUUAAAAUUAAUUAGAAAGGUUUUUCAAAUAUUUUAGAUAAAACAGUUAAAGUUUAAGAAAAUAAGUUUAAACUUUAAGAAAACUAAAAUAAGUAUAAAGGUUUAAACUUGAAGAAAACACUUAAACACUUAAACACUUAAACCAAAACAAUGUUAAUUUUACUAUUAAUUUUAAAACAUUAGUUUAAGUGUUAAAUUUUAAAAACGUUGAAAACAAACCGCGCCUAGGCAUCCUGUCCUUAGUUGGUCCGUAAGCUUUGGUGUUCGAAGUUCGGCAUGUUUUCACGUAAUAUAAAUUUAACACUUAAACUCAUUUUUAAAUAUUUAUAAUGAUUUUUACUAAAUUUUAAAACAAAUUUAACACUUAAAACCUUAAGAAAACUAAAAUAAGUAUAAAGGUUAAAACUUUAAGAAAACACUUAAACACUUAAACCAAAACUAUGUUAAUUUUACUAUUAAUUUUUAAAAAUUAGUUCAAGUGUUAAAUUUUUAUAUUUUAGAUAAAACACUUAAACUUUAAGAAAAUAAGUUUAAACUUUAAGAAAACUAAAAUAAGUAUAAAGGUUUAAACUUUAAGAAAACACUUAAACAUUUAAACCAAAACUAUGUUAAUUUUACUAUUAAUUUUAAAAAUUAGUUUAAGUGUUAAAUUUUUAGAUAUUUUAGAUAAAACACUUAAACUUUAAAAAAACUUUAAGAAAACUAAAAUAAGUAUAAAAGUUUAAACUUUAAGAAAAAACUUAAACACUUAAACACUUAAACCAAAACUAUGUUAAUUUUACUAUUAAUUAGUUUAAGUGUUAAAUUUUAAGAAAACACUUAAACACUUAAACCAAAACUAUGUUAAUUUUACUAUUAAUUUUUAAAAAUUAGUUCAAGUGUUAAAUUUUUAGAUAUUUUAGAUAAAACACUUAAACUUUUAGAAAAUAAGUUUAAACUUUAAGAAAACUAAAAUAAGUAUAAAGGUUUAAACUUUAAGAAAACACUUAAACACUUAAACCAAAACUAUGUUAAUUUUACUAUUAAUUUUAAAAAUUAGUUUAAGUGUUAAAUUUUUAGAUAUUUUAGAUAAAACACUUAAACUUUAAAAAAACUUUAAGAAAACUAAAAUAAGUAUAAAAGUUUAAACUUUAAGAAAACACUUAAACCAAAACUAUGCUAAUUUUACUAUUAAUUCGUUUAAGUGUUAAAUUUUUAGAUAUUUUAGAUCUUAAACUUUAAGAAAAUAAGUUUAAACUUUAAGAAAACUAAAAAUUAGUUUAAGCAAUAAAUUUUAAAAACAUCAAAAACUAACCGCGCCUAAGCAUCCUGUCUUUAGUUGGUCCGUAAGCUUUGGUGUUCGAAGUUCGGCAUGUUUUCACAUAAUAUAGACUAGGGGAGGUCCCGCGCCCAGCGCGGGGUUGUAUGUUGAUUAAGACCAGAAUUAAUAAUUAAUAUUUAGGGUUAUCAAGUUAGGGAUAUUUAUUGAAUUAAUUUUGUCAAGAGUCUAAUUUUUAUAACGACAUUAAUAUAGAAUUAUGGUAAAACGCUAUAACUUUUGAUAUAUAUUAUUAGUAAUCAACAAUUAAUAGUGUUUUUGAAUCACAAACAAUUAUUAGUGUUUAUAUCUUGAUAUAUAUAAUAGAAUUAAAUAUAAAAAAUCUAUAUAUUUAAACCACAAUAUAUUAGCAACGCCCCGACUGCCAUUGUCCAUGGGUUCCCACGUCCAGUCUCGGUCUUUAGGCCCAUCUUCUUUGUUUUGUCGUACUCUUGAUUUUAUGACAUAUUCAUGCUUACUCGUUUCUUUCAUAUUAGCAACGCCCCGACCGCCACUGUCCGUGGGCUCCCCACGUCCAGUUUCGGUCUUUAGGCCCAUCUUCUUUGUUUUGUCGUACUCUUGAUUUUAUGACAUAUUCAUGCUUACUCGUUUCUUUCAUAUUUGUAAUGCCACGACCGCCACUGUCUGUGGGUUCCCACGUCCAGUUUCGUUCUUUGAGCACAUCUUCUUGGUUUUGUAGUACUCUUGGUUUUAUGACAUAUUCACGCUUCCUCGUUUCUUUCAUAUUUGUAACGCUCCGACCGCCACUGUCCGUGGGUUCCCCACGUCCAGUUUCGGACUUUAAUUUGGGCCCAUCUUCCUGGUUUUUGUUGUAUUCUUGAUUUUAUGACAUAUUCAUGCUUUUAGAUUGUAUGUCACUGGAGUUUUUCGUAGUUGGAAACAAAUAAUUGAAAAAUAUAAUCUCUUACCAUAUCUCUUACCUAUCAAGUAAGUCAUCUUGCUCUUUGAAGUAGUUAUGGACGUAAAAUUUCAAUGGUAUAGAAACAGGCAUCUCCUUUGUAUAUAUCGUGUCAUAUUUAUCGUCCCUAUUGUAGUAUCUUUGUCUCUACCUUUGCCAUUGGUCGCUGCGUAACCCUUCAGUUGAUCUCUUGUUUAUAAAACCCAUAUAAAAAGUUGUAAGAGAAAUAUCAUUUUCUUAACUGUAUCGUAUAUGUAUUUGUAGUAUAUUGAUCUGAGAUUGCAAAGAUGUAUGCCUAUCAAGAAGCUCUUAGCAAAGUAAACACUGAAGAUAGGUACUAAAAAUGAGAGGGUUACAGAGAGCAAGUAUCUAUCCCUUAGAAACCACUAUGUGCAACUGAGAAUAAUUCAUAUAUGUACAUACAUACACAUGUAUACAACGUAUUGAAGCUUUUAAAUUUAAAUAUCGAAUGCUACAAAACUGGAAAAUUGCUUGUGGAGAAAGCAAUAUGAACAUGGCCACAUAUAUAACAAAUAACCGAUUAUGCUUUUCGUAGAUCAUUCUCUUUCAAACCAAAAGUUUUACCUAAACAACAUAUCAAGUGACUCACAAGAGAUACAUAAGAGCCAUAUCCUAAAAAUAUCCGGCAAAGCAAAAACGCUCCAGGUUCGAGAAGGAAGUCAUUGGAAAAUUUGAGUAUAUACCAAACUGGAGAGUAAUUCGGCUACAAAGAGAGAUGUGUUGGCUUUGAAGAAAAAGCUAUGUGAUGCUCUACCUUUUAUUUAUGAAUUUUAUGCUAUGAAUAUAUGUUUUUGUUAGGGUUCAACUUCAGUCUCCGGAUUAGAGACUUAUAUUCAUCCGACAAACAAUUCGAUGUCACAAUCAACGCUACAAAAUUGGUGGGUUCUCUCUAUUAACAAACAAAAAAAAAUUCUGGGGUAUAUAUAUUUUUUUUGUUUUGUUAGAUCCAUACGACGAAGAACAUGACGAAGAACACCAAAAAUUCUCAUCAAUCCGGUACGUUUGAUCUUAUUUUUAUUAGUUUAACAAUUACGGUUAUGUCUGAAUCUGAAAUAACCAUGGCUCCAGACUCCUUCACACCAUGGCCACAUAUCACCGGAGUGGAGACGAUUUCAAAUUCGGAGCUUCUCUUCGCAUAUAAAAUCAUACAUAUGGUCUCUUUGUUUCGGGUUCCCUCUACAAUAAUUAGUACAUAUUUCAAAACUGAGCUACAAAAGAGCACAUUGGAUUUUGGUAAACAUCAAGAUUGCUUCCUACCUUCCAAGAAACAUGAUAGACUAAUUCACAUCCAAGACCAAACAUUAGCCACAUAAAGCCUGAAUCAAAUUAAACGAUCUUAGGAUGCUCUUCAUAAUCCGUAAGUUAAAGAGACUUGCAUUAAUAUCGCAAAUUAGACUCUAGAGGUCCACAAUGGUUAAUCAGAGUGUAUCAAAGACGACGAAUAAAGCAUGAAUUAGAAUAUCAGCAGAGGAAGCACACAAAUAUUCAAUAAACGUAAUCAAUCACUGAGAAUAGCAUGGACCCAACUUUUAAAAGAUUCAUAAAAAAGGAAGAUUUUUCCUAUGCAACAAUAUUCAAACAAUGAGAAGAUCAAUGAUUGAUGACUAACCAUACAACCGAAGCAAAGCCAUAAACAGAAACGAAAGUACUAAAGAGCCACAACAGCAGUGAUACGACAUUUGUUUCCUCGCACUGGAAACAAUGACGUGCUUCCAUAAAUCCAAUCUAGUUUUUAUGGAAAACAAACCUGCAUUCAUAAUAAACACUACUAUUAAUUAUUAUUUUUUAUGCAAGAAUUAAAUGGCAGUAUAAAAAAUUCAAUGGUUAGUGCCAAAAAAAAAAAGCAAGGAUUAGUUAUGAUAUCAAAUCAAGAUUAAAUAUCAAGCAAGGUAUUUACAUAAAAUUAAGGCAGUGGAGGAUCUAAGAAUUUUUUAUAUGACAAUAUCUACAACUAAACAAAGAAAAUUUAUAUAUUUUUAAAACAGAAUCAUUAUUUGUUUUUUGGUAAGAUUAAAACCGAAUCAUUAUCAUAUUAGUAAAAUUAUCAUUUAUUUAUUAUUAUCCACGUUAAUUUAAAAGUUUAAGAGAAUAUCUGCUUUUUUCUCAUAAAAGGAUGGAAUAAUAACAUAACUCUUUUAGAUUUAUAACUAUAUUUGACAUUAUCAUAUUAAAUCAAUUAAGAUAAAUAUAUUUCUUUUUGAAAAAUAUAAAUAAAAUGAUAAUAUAAUUAUUAUAGAUUUACAAUUAUAUUAUUAUCCAUGUCAAAAUUUUAAAACAUUUUACUUUUUUCUCACAUAGGAAGAUAGAACAAUACGUAACAGUUUAAGAUUUACAACAUAAAAAUAAUAUCAGAAUUGGAACGCCAAAUCAUAAUCAACACAAUUAACACAACUCUAAUGGGAAAUUAGAGUUAUCUUGUGAUUAAAAUACUAAACAAACAAAACUAACCGAAACAAAACAAAAGUCUUCCUUUCAAAAUCAUUAACGUGACGGAUUGCUGACUGAUUAAGUUGAAGUUUUAGGCAUUUAAAGAUCUAGAAAGAUGAUUAAGGUUAAACAUUUUUAUUUAUUUUAAACAACGUUUGAAUGUUGACAAAAAAAGAAGAAGAGAGUGUUGGGACCAUCGGGAGAGACAACGUUGAGCAGCUGCGAAAGAAGCCAACGUUGUCUAUUAUGUUCCUCACAGUGUUUGAUUUGACUUUUGAUGACAUUACACUCCUGUCCACUUGUUGUCUCGAAAGUUCAUGCAAUGGAAAAUUAUUAAACAAAACAAUUUACUUUUAUGUAUAAAUCCUAGGGAAGAACCGAUCAAGCUAAGAUCAAUGGUUGUGGUUUUAGUACCGUAUACUUCUCAAAUAUACUCGUUGAAUAACGGAAAUCCGCAAGACGGGGAGGAGACGAAGUCAACCUAGCUGGCAAAGGAGCUAACCCAGCUCCUUUGGUCUUAUUUAUGGUCAUAUGUAUUUAGCAAAAUAUGGUAUACAAACCGAACCAAUCAACAACAAAACCUGGUUUUAAAUUGUUGUAUAUUUCUCAAAAGUCAAAACCCAUAAUAACCAAUGGAACAGAAGAAGCUAAUGCAGAGCAUACUUACGAUUGGAGUAAAGAGUGAUGCAAGCUUCCAUUGGCACACCCGAAAACGCAUCAGAGCAUGGAAAGAAACCUAAAAACCAAUAAAUUAAACAAUAAUUAAAUCUUAGUGCAUGGAAAACGAAUCCUAUACAUACCAAAGUCCGAAUCUCAAUGCCUUAGAAUGACCUCGAUACCAAAAACUUUAAGUUACUACUUCCAUAUAUGUAAUAUUUUAGUUUAGGGAGAGAGAUUGGCAACGAAGAGUAAUUCCUGAAUUUAACAGCCAAGUUUGUUAUCCCUAAUCUAAAGAGAGGAAUACUUAAAUUGUAUUAACGACAAAAAUUAGCCUCCUCUGAAGAUUCAUCCCUGAAAUAAGUCAUCUUUCUGACUUUGUGGCAACUAUGUUAUCAAAAGUUGAGUGUUUCUUCUGAAAAAAGACAUAUUUGAAAAUAAUAAGAACAUGUACCUCAACAAAAUCGGGAGGUACCUCAUAUUUUUACAACAAAAAGAAACAUACCAAACCAUCGAUGAUUACCUUCUCAAAAGUUGAAACCAAACUUUUUGAUUAUAAAAAUUGAUUAGUGGUGAAAAUAGUGAAACCAUAAAUACAAAAAAAAAAAAAAUCAAAUUUGUACAUAUAAACUAUAAGAUCACCUGUUUAUUCAUUGAAUUAGGUCCAAAUUUUCCAUACACCAGUUCACAUCGUCCCCUCCAUACAUCCACCCUACAAUAAAAAGAAAAAUUAAAAUUAGGUAGAAGCAAAAAAAAGUUUGAAAAAAAAGAACAAAAAAAACAAGGGUUAGUUAUGAUCUGAAAUUGAAUACCAUGAGCAAGGUAUUUAUAUUGAAUAGGAGGCGGUGCAUGAUUUAGGGUUUCUAAAUUUUUCGACGAUAAAUACAAAAAAAGAAAAGAAAAUUUACAUAUUUUAAUAAGCAAAUCACUAUCAUAAUAAUAAAUAUUUGUAAAACUGUCAUUUAUUCAUUGUUAUCCAUGUUUAUUUAAAAUAAUAUUUACUUUUUUCCGUAAAAAUAUGGAAUAAUAACAACUAUUUUAGAUUUACUACUAUAUCUGAUACUAUCUUAUAAAAUAUAUUAAAAUUUAAGGGAAAAUUCCUUUCUGUUUCAAAAAUAAGGCGGAACAAUAAUAUAAUUUUUGAUUUACAAUAGAUAGACAUGCAUGGUAUCCAUAUGCGUCAUGUCACGCUGAUCCAUAUUUUUUUCCAAAACUCGAUCUAAUUGCUAUUAUGUGCAAAAAUCACCGCCGAUCACGUUCAUGUUCACGUUAGCACUCCAUACCUUAAUUCACAUGUAAACCUCUCUGCCUAUCUCUGACUUCAGCUCUCUCAUCUUCGAGUCUCCCCAAGAAAGUUUUGACACCACACCAACAUUUCAUUCGUCAAAAUUAAAUCGAGUUUGCACAAGGUUACAACCGAUUAAUAGGUGGUCUUCUACCUUCUAUUUACGAUUUUAUGCUAUGAAUAUAUGUUUUUGUCAGGGUUCAAGUCAAUCUCCGGAUUAGAGACUUAUAAUCAUCCGACGAACAAUACGAUGGCGUGAUAACCGUUUCUAAAUUGGUGGGUUCUCUUUCAUUGAUCUACAUAUUAUUUUUUUUGUUCGUUUUUUUUUCCAAAUAUUUAGAUUGAAACGACGACGAACACGAUGAUCAUACCAAAAAUUUCAUCUAUUCCGGUACGUUUGAUCUUUAUUUUAAUUAGUUUAACAAUUAAUAGCCGUUUACGAUUAAUUUCGGAUAUCUAAAUCUUAUUAAUUUGAGUAAAGUUAGAAUAAUAUUCUUUUAUGUUUAUAUUAAUGCUCCGAUUAAUAAUUUUCGGAUAUUUGACAUUAUCAUCUUAAAUAUAUCAAUAUUAUAAUAAAUAUUUUCCUUUUCCGAUUUUUUUUUUUUUUGGUAUAAUUCCUUUUCCGAUAAAUUAUGAAACAGAUCUGUUUACACAAAAGGUAAAAAAGAAAAAAAAAAAAAAAAAAAAAAACCCAUCAACCGUCUCCAUUCACACGUUUCUUCAUUAUGAUCACGAAUUCACGUUCAUGGAAGCUUCAUCAUACAUUAACACUUACAAGUUUCUUCGUCGAGUUUUUAUCCAAGGUUUCUUCGUCAACUCUGUAUCCAAGGUAAUAAAUAUUUGUUCUUUUCAUUGGUUAGAAUUAUAGGGUGCAGGAUAGUAUUGACGUCUUAAAGACAUAACAUGGGCAAGAUACUAUGAGAAGCUUGACUAUUCUGCUUCGACAGAUCAACAGGUGAAAUUCUAUCACUAAAUUAUUAGAUCUCUGUUAUUGCUAUGAAUAUAUGCUUUAUGUUAGGAUUUCAAGUUUUGCCUUCGUUUAGAAGAAUUAUAUUCACACGACGAAGAACACGAUGAAUUCAAUUGAAGCUUCCUAACUGGUACUUCGUUGUUCCUUUUUUUUUUUUUUUGGUUAAUUAUCAUGUUUAUUGUUUCCAAAAUUAUUUUUUCCUGGUUAAUACCGAAAUUCAAUUUAAUUUUUCCAAAAUUAAUUAGAUUUCAUUAAGGGUAAUUAAGUAAUUACGUAAAAUCAAGGACUCAACAAGAGCCGAGAGUCCGACACGUCAGCAAAAACACUUCUCAAAUAUUGUUAUAUAUAGAUUUAAUACUUCAACUCAUUUUUAAAAUUUAAUUAUGAUUUCCACUAAAACCUAAAACAAAUUUAACACUUAAACUAUAAGAAAAUAAUAUUUUUAACCAAAACCAUGUUAAUUUCACUAUUAAUUUUAAAAAAUUAAGUGUAAAAUUUUAAAAAUGUCGAAAACUAACCGCGCCUAGGCAUCUUGUCCUUAGUUGGUCCGUAUAAGCUUUGGUGUUCGAAGUUCUGCAUAUUUUCACGUAUAGAUUUAACACUUAAAAUCAUUUUUAAAUUAAUAAUAAUUUUUAUUGAAAUUUAAAACAAAUUUAACACUUAAACUUUAAGAAAAUAAUGCUUUUAACUAAAAUCAUUUUAAUUUCACUAUUACUUUUUCAAAAUUAGUUCAAGUGUUAAAUUUUAAAAACGUCGAAAACUAAUCUAGGCAUCAUGUUUUCACACAAUAUACAUUUAACAAUUAGACUCAUUUUUAAAACCUAGUAAUGAUUUUUUACUAAAUUCUAAGACAAGUUUAAUACUUAAACCACUUAACUUUAAAUACGUGAAAACAAACCGGAUUUAGCAUCCCGUUCUUUUUGUCCGUAAGUUUUGUGUGAUGUCAUAAAUCCUACCCGUUUUCACUUAUUUAAAUUUAACAAUUAAGCUUUUUUACAAAUAUUAUUUUAACUAAAUUGUUUUUAUUUUUAAAUAUACAAACAAUUUUUAUAAAUAAAUGUUUUCAAACUUAUGUGUUAAGUUGAAAUACGUAAAACAAACCGGAUUUAGUAUCCCAUCCUUUUGGUCCGUAAGUCUUGUGUUGUCACAAAUUCAAUAAAUUUUUACGUAUUUUAAAUUUAACACUUAAGGUUUUUCACAGAUAAUUUUUUAAGUAAAAUUUGUGAUUUUAAAAUUAAAAUGAAUUACUAUUCAAAUUUUUUAUUAAAUGUUUCAAAUUCAAGUGUUAGAUUUAAAUACGUGAAAACAAACCGGAAUUAGUAUCCCGUCCUUUUUGUCCGUAAGUUUUGUGGUGUCAUAUAUUCAAUAAAUUCAACACGCUUUCACGUAUUUUAAAUUUAACAUUUAAGGUUUUUGACUAAUAAAAUAUUUUUAGUAAUAUUUUUUUAUUUUUAACUAAAAUUUAAUUAUGAUACAAAUAAUUUUGUUAAAUGUUUUCAAUCUUAAGUGUUAGAUUUAAAUACAUGAAAACAAACCGGAUUUAACAUCUCGUCCUUUUGAUCCGUAAAUAUUGUGGUGUAAUUAUUUCAACAUGUUUUUUACGUAUUUUAAAUUUAACAUUUUGUUAUUUGUUAAAGUGUUUGACAAUUAAUGUUUUAAGUAAAUUUUUUUAAUUUUUAACUUAAUAUUUUUGAUGAUAAAAAAAAACUUAAUAUUUUUGAUUAUACAAUUUUUCAUUAUCUAUAAAAUCUAGGUUUUAAAUUUCAAUACGUUGAAAACAAACCGGAUUUAGCAUCCCGCCCUUUAGGUGUCAUAAGUUCAACAUGUUUUCACGUAUAUUAAAUUUAACACUUAGUUAGGUUUUAAGGAUUUUCACGAAUAAUGUUUUAUAACAAAAUUGUUUUGAUUUUUAACUAAGUAUUUUUGAUUAUACAAAUUGUUUUAUAAUAAAAAUCUAAAUUUAAAUAUGUUGAAAACCUAGGAAGCACGGAAGCUUCGUCCGAGGUCCACUUCCCGCUUCGGAAUCUUAGUCGGAAUCGGAAGAUUUCGGAAGCUUUCGGAAUCCCGCUUUCAAGAAACGUGAGUUUGAUGAUGUUUUAUCGGUAAAAAAAAUUUAAAACAAUUUUAUUUGAUGAAAUUAGUAAAAUGAGAAUGAAGAUAAUGAUCUUAAAUUUAUGACUUUGAACUAUUUGACUUUUCUUUAUUGUAAACAUACACUAUUUGAUUUUUAAAUAUAGUUCAGGUAUUUAAAAUUUAUGUAUUAGAUUUGUGUGUUAAUUAUAAUUCUUGUUUUCCCUCAUGUUAAUUAUAAUUUUUAUAGGAGAUAAUGUUUAAUUUUUAUUAUAUAUGUAUGUGUGUAUAUAUAGAUAUAUAAAAUAUUAAUAUUAAUUUUUAUAUACGCUUCCAACACGUACCCACUUUCUAUAAUUUCUAUAAAAAUCGUUUCCACGUUUCUAAACGCUUCGCUUCCGCGUAGCCGCUUCUGAUUCCAUGCAACCUAGUUGAAAACAAACCGAACUUUAGGUCUGUUCUUUUGGUCCAUAAAUUUUGAUGUCAUAAAUUUAUCAUGCUUUCCACGUAUAUUAAAAAUUUAACACUUAGUUAUUGUUUUGAUUUUUUACUAAAUAUCUUUGACUAUACAAAUAUUUUUUUCUUUUAAAAAUCUAAUUGUUAAAUUUAAAUACGCUAAAAUUAAAGCAGACUUAACAUCUCAUUCUUUUAGUUGGCAUAUUUUGGUGUCAUAAGUUCUAACAUGUUUUGAGAUAAGAGAGUAUAGUCAUGUGACAAGACAGGGAUCAGAUGCUUACGCACACUGCUCGAAACUCUCCCACUCCUCGGUGAUUAUGUCUAAAAGGCAUCUCGUACUUUGAGAACUUGGAAGAUUGGUGGUCUUUGCAUAUGCAGCACUCUGGAAAACAGAAUUAGGGAUUUGGGAUUGUGGAGAUAACAAGAGCUGGGUUUAACAUGGUGAGGCUCUGUUUUUCGAUCAAAGCUAAAAACGUUCUUCUCUUAGAGAAAUGAUGCCGAAGAAAAAUGACGACUAUGAUC